rnacentral:rRNA from 1 species
UACGAAGGGGGCGAGCGUUGUUCGGAAUUACUGGGCGUAAAGCGUGCGCAGGCGGUUUUGUAAGCCAGAUGUGAAAGCCCCGGGCUUAACCUGGGAAUGGCAUUUGGGACUGCAAGGCUUGAGUGCGGCAGAGGAGACUGGAAUUCCUGGUGUAGCGGUGAAAUGCGCAGAUAUCAGGAGGAACACCGGUGGCGAAGGCGGGUCUCUGGGCCGAUACUGACGCUGAGGAGCGAAAGCGUGGGGAGCGAACAGG